rnacentral:rRNA from 1 species
UGGGGAAUAUUGCACAAUGGGCGCAAGCCUGAUGCAGCCAUGCCGCGUGCAUGAAGAAGGCCUUCGGGUUGUAAAGUACUUUCAGCGAGGAGGAAGGCGUUGUGGUUAAUAACCGCAACGAUUGACGUUACUCGCAGAAGAAGCACCGGCUAACUCCGUGCCAGCAGCCGCGGUAAUACGGAGGGUGCAAGCGUUAAUCGGAAUUACUGGGCGUAAAGCGCACGCAGGCGGUCUGUCAAGUCGGAUGUGAAAUCCCCGGGCUCAACCUGGGAACUGCAUCCGAAACUGGCAGGCUAGAGUCUUGUAGAGGGGGGUAGAAUUCCAGGUGUAGCGGUGAAAUGCGUAGAGAUCUGGAGGAAUACCGGUGGCGAAGGCGGCCCCCUGGACAAAGACUGACGCUCAGGUGCGAAAGCGUGGGGAGCAAACA